rnacentral:lncRNA from 1 species
UUUGCGAUUUUGAAGACCGAAUUAGCUUUCACUUUGUUGGGUGAUUCGUGUUGGAUUUGGAUUAGAAUAGUGUGUACUAGUCUUUAAUCUGGGAUUGGAAGCAUAGUAAUUGAGUUAAUGACCGACCGUUUUUAUUCUGUGUUUGAUUUCGUUUUUAUGUUUAUGUCUGCAUUUCAGUUUUACAUUUUUGUUUGCAUCCGUCUUUUGAUUUAGUUCAUCCGCAUUUACAAACCUUUCACAACCCCCCCC